CGAUAGAGGGCACUGUUCAGGUGUGGAUAUCGCGAUAGAGGGCGCUGUUCAGGUGUGGAUAUCGCGAUAGAGGGCACUGUUCAGGUGUGGAUAUCCCGAUAGGGGGCGCUGUUGUGGGGAUAUCGCGAUAGGGGGCCCUGUUCACAUGUCGAUAUCGCGAUAGUUGGCAUCGUUUGGGUGUGGAUAUCGCGAUAGGGGGCGCUAUUGUGUGGAUAUCGCGAUAGAGGGCGCUAUUGUGGGGCUAUCGCGAUAGGGGGCACUGCUGGAGUUGGGAUAUCGCGAUAGGGGGCGCUGUAUGGGUGUGGAUAUCGCGAUAGAGGGCACUGUUGAGCUGUCCAUAUCGCGAUAGGGGGCACUGUUAAGAGUGUGGAUAUCGCGAUAGGGGGCGCUGUUGUGGGGAUAUCGCGAUAGGGGGCCCUGUUCAGGUGCGGAUAUCGCGAUAGGGGGCACUGCUGGAGUUUGGAUAUCGCGAUAGUUGUCAUUCUUCAGGCGUCACUAUCGCGAUAGCUGCCACCUCCCAGCCCAGGUUUUGGCGUCGGGUCCCCCCCCUGCGGCGGUGCCCGUAUCGCGAUAUAUCGCGACGCGCUUUCACAGUUCCAGUGUCUUUUAUUGUGAGCUCGUCACCGUUUCUGCGUCAGUCCCCUCCCCAUUCAUUGGUCGCCGGUUCGGUUUCCAUAUCGCGACAUUUGGUGCCACUAUCGCGAUAUACGGUGGCAGUAUCGCGAUACGGUCACUGUUCUGUGCUAAUAUCGCGAUAUCUGGCGACGCUAUUGUGAUACAUGGUGCCACUAUCGCGAUACACGGUGGCAAUAUCGCGAUACGGUCACUGUUCACUGCCAGUAUCACGAUAUCUGCUGUCAAUAUCGCGAUUUAUCAAUUCGUAGCGCCGCUCCGUCGCGAUAUAGCACUGCUACUGUCGCGAUAUAACGCCGCUCCAUCGCGAUAUUGUGCUGCUCCGUCGUGAUACAGCGCUGCUGUCACGAUAUAGCUCAAUUCUGUCGCGAUACAGGGCAGCUCUGUCGUGAUAUAGCACUGCUCCGUCGCGAUAUAGUUCCACUGUCGCAAUAGAGCAGUGCUCUGUCACGAUAUAGCCCCGUUCUGUCGCGAUACGGCGCUGCUCUGUCGCAACAUGGCGCCAUUGUUGUGAUAGAAGCGCUCUGUCGCGAUAUAGCGCUGCUCCGUCACGAUAUAGUUCCACUGUCGCGAUAUAGCCCCGUUCUGUCGCGAUACGGUGCCACUCCAUCGCGAUAGAAGCGCUCUGUCGCGAUAUAGCACUGCUCUGUCACGAUAUAGUUCCGCCGUCGCGAUAUAGCUCCAUUCCGUCGCGAUAUAGCACUGCUCUGUCGCGAUAUAGUCCCACUGUCGCGAUACAGCUCCACUCCAUCACAAUACGGCGCCGCUCUGUCGCGAUAUAGCCCCGUUCCAUCACGAUAUCUCGCUGCUCUGUCGCGAUAUAGCCCCAUUCCAUCAUGGUAUCUUGCCCCUCCAUCGCGAUACAGCCCCAUUCCGUCGUGACAGAAGUGCUCCGUCGCGAUAUAGCCCCGUUCCAUCACGAUAUCUCGCCUCUGUCGUGAUAUAGCACUGCUCUGUUGCGAUACAGCCCCAUUCCAUCGCGAUAUCUCGCCGCUGUCGCGAUAUAGCACUGCUCCGUCGCGAUAUAGCCCCAUUCCAUCACGAUAUCUCACCUCUGUCGUGAUAUAGCACUGCUCUGUUG
rnacentral:lncRNA from 1 species